rnacentral:rRNA from 1 species
GUAGGUGGCAAGCGUUGUCCGGAAUUAUUGGGCGUAAAGCGCGCGCAGGCGGUCCUUUAAGUCUGAUGUGAAAGCCCACGGCUCAACCGUGGAGGGUCAUUGGAAACUGGGGGACUUGAGUACAGAAGAGGAAAGCGGAAUUCCAAGUGCAGCGGUGAAAUGCGUAGAGAUUUGGAGGAACACCAGUGGCGAAGGCGGCUUUCUGGUCUGUAACUGACGCUGAGGCGCGAAAGCGUGGGGAGCAAACAGGGAUUAGAUGCCUGGUAGUCCACGCCGUAAACGAUGAGUGCUAAGUGUUAGGGGGUUUCCGCCCCCCUUAGUGCUGCAGCUAACGCAUUAAGCACUCCGCCUGGGAGUACGGCCGCAAGGCUG